GACGAACGCUGGCGGCGUGCUUGACACAUGCAAGUCGAGCGGUGAACCACCUUCGGGUGGGGAUCAGCGGCGAACGGGUGAGUAACACGUGGGCAACCUGCCCCUAGCUCUGGGAUAACCCCGGGAAACCGGGGCUAAUACCGGAUACGACCUCGAGCGGCAUCACUCGAGGUGGAAAGGGUUUACUGGCUAGGGAUGGGCCCGCGGCCUAUCAGCUUGUUGGUGGGGUAACGGCCUACCAAGGCGACGACGGGUAGCCGGCCUGAGAGGGUGACCGGCCACACUGGAACUGAGACACGGUCCAGACUCCUACGGGAGGCAGCAGUGGGGAAUAUUGGGCAAUGGAGGAAACUCUGACCCAGCGACGCCGCGUGCGGGAUGAAGGCCUUCGGGUUGUAAACCGCUUUCAGUAGGGAAGAAGCGAAAGUGACGGUACCUACAGAAGAAGCACCGGCUAACUAUGUG
rnacentral:rRNA from 1 species